rnacentral:rRNA from 1 species
CAAGCAGUGGGAGCAUCUUUGAGAUGUGACCGCGUACCUCUUGCAUAAUGGGUCAGUGACUUAAUGUAUCAAGCAAGCUUAAGCCGUUAGGUGUAGGCGCAGCGAAAGCGAGUCUGAAUAGGGCGAAAUGAAUGUCACUGGUUAUAGACCCGAACCCGGGUGAUCUAACCAUGUCCAGGAUGAAGCUUGGGUAACACCAAGUGGAGGUCCGCACCGACUGAUGUUGAAAAAUCAGCGGAUGAGGUGUGGUUAGGGGUGAAAUACCAAUCGAACCCGGAGCUAGCUGGUUCUCCCCGAAAUGUGUUUAGGCGCAGCGGUAGUGAUUAUAGUUUGGGGGUAAAGCACUGUUUCGGUGCGGGCGGCGAAAGCUGUACUAAAUCGAGACAAACUCAGAAUACCAAAUGCACACACUACCAGUGAGACGGUGGGGGAUAAGCUUCAUCGUCAAGAGGGAAACAGCCCAGACCACCAGCUAAGGUCCCCAAAUUGUCACUAAGUGAUAAAGGAGGUGGGAGUGCAAAGACAACCAGGAGGUUUGCCUAGAAGCAGCCAUCCUUAAAAGAGUGCGUAAUAGCUCACUGGUCAAGCGCUCCUGCGCCGAAAAUGAACGGGGCUAAGUGACGUACCGAAGCUGUGGAU